rnacentral:rRNA from 1 species
CAGCAGCCGCGGUAAUACGUAGGGCGCAAGCGUUGUCCGGAAUUAUUGGGCGUAAAGAGCUCGUAGGCGGCUUGUCGCGUCGAUUGUGAAAGCCCGGGGCUUAACUCCGGGUCUGCAGUCGAUACGGGCAGGCUAGAGUGUGGUAGGGGAGAUCGGAAUUCCUGGUGUAGCGGUGAAAUGCGCAGAUAUCAGGAGGAACACCGGUGGCGAAGGCGGAUCUCUGGGCCAUUACUGACGCUGAGGAGCGAAAGCGUGGGGAGCGAACAGGAUUAGA